UACAGAGGGUGCAAGCGUUGUUCGGAAUUAUUGGGCGUAAAGGGCGCGUAGGCGGUGCGGUAAGUCUGUAGUGAAAUCUCUGGGCUCAACUCAGAGUCUGCUGCAGAAACUGCCGUGCUUGAGUGUGGGAGAGGUGAGUGGAAUUCCCGGUGUAGCGGUGAAAUGCGUUGAGAUCGGAAGGAACGCCCGUGGCGAAAGUGAGGUCCUGGACGCCUACUGACGCUGAGACGCGAAAGCCAGGGGAGCGAACGGG
rnacentral:rRNA from 1 species